GGAAGGAUGGCCUUGUGGCUUAAGCAUAUGACUACAAAUCAGAAGAUCUGGGUUCACUUCCUAGCUCUCCCU
rnacentral:tRNA from 1 species